rnacentral:rRNA from 1 species
AACGAACGCUGGCGGCAGGCUUAACACAUGCAAGUCGAACGCGUGCAGCAAUGCACGAGUGGCGCACGGGUGAGUAACGAGUGGAUAUCUGCCUUUUGGUUCGGAAUAACCCCGGGAAACUGGGGCUAAUACCGGAUGGUUCCCACGGGAUAAAAAUUUAUCGCCAAAAGAUGAGUCCGCGUCCGAUUAGCUAGUUGGUGAGGUAAUGGCUCACCAAGGCGACGAUCGGUAGCUGGUCUGAGAGGACGAUCAGCCACACUGGGACUGAGACACGGCCCAGACUCCUACGGGAAGCAGCAGUGGGGAAUAUUGGACAAUGGGGGCAACCCUGAUCCAGCCAUGCCGCGUGAGUGAUGAAGGCCUUCGGGUUGUAAAGCUCUUUUGGCGGGGACGAUGAUGACGGUACCCGCAGAAUAAGCCCCGGCUAACUUCGUG